rnacentral:rRNA from 1 species
CCUACGGGAGGCAGCAGUGAGGAAUAUUGGUCAAUGGACGAGAGUCUGAACCAGCCAAGUAGCGUGAAGGAUGACUGCCCUAUGGGUUGUAAACUUCUUUUAUAUGGGAAUAAAACGUUCCACGUGUGGGAUUUUGUAUGUACCAUAUGAAUAAGGAUCGGCUAACUCCGUGCCAGCAGCCGCGGUAAUACGGAGGAUCCGAUCGUUAUCCGGAUUUAUUGGGUUUAAAGGGAGCGUAGGUGGAUUGUUAAGUCAGUUGUGAAAGUUUGCGGCUCAACCGUAAAAUUGCAGUUGAAACUGGCAGUCUUGAGUACAGUAGAGGUGGGCGGAAUUCGUGGUGUAGCGGUGAAAUGCUUAGAUAUCACGAAGAACUCCGAUUGCGAAGGCAGUUCACUGGACUGCAACUGACACUGAGGCUCGAAAGUGUGGGUAUCAAACAGGAUUAGAUACCCUAGUAGUC